GACGACGCUGGCGGCGUGCCUAACACAUGCAAGUCGAGCGGAGAUGUACUGAAGAUUUAUCGGAUGUACAUCUUAGCGGCGGACGGGUGAGUAACGCGUGGGCAACCUGCCUUCCACUGGGGGAUAACACAGGGAAACCUGUGCUAAUACCGCAUGACAUCACAUAGGGCAUCCUGUGUGAUCAAAGGAGUGAUCCGGUGGAAGAUGGGCCCGCGUCCGAUUAGCUAGUUGGUGAGGUAACGGCUCGCCAAGGCGACGAUCGGUAGCCGGACUGAGAGGUUGGCCGGCCACAUUGGGACUGAGACACGGCCCAGACUCCUACGGGAGGCAGCAGUGGGGAAUAUUGCGCAAUGGGGGGAACCCUGACGCAGCGACGCCGCGUGAAGGAAGAAGGCCUUCGGGUUGUAAACUUCUUUGAUGAGGGACGAAGGAAGUGACGGUACCUCAAAAACAAGCCACGGCUAACUACGUG
rnacentral:rRNA from 1 species